GACGAACGCUGGCGGCGUGCCUAAUACAUGCAAGUAGAACGCACAGUUUAUACCGUAGCUUGCUACACCAUAAACUGUGAGUUGCGAACGGGUGAGUAACGCGUAGGUAACCUGCCUGGUAGCGGGGGAUAACUAUUGGAAACGAUAGCUAAUACCGCAUAAUAUUAAUUAUUGCAUGAUAAUUGAUUGAAAGAUGCAAUUGCAUCACUACCAGAUGGACCUGCGUUGUAUUAGCUAGUAGGUGAGGUAACGGCUCACCUAGGCGACGAUACAUAGCCGACCUGAGAGGGUGAUCGGCCACACUGGGACUGAGACACGGCCCAGACUCCUACGGGAGGCAGCAGUAGGGAAUCUUCGGCAAUGGACGAAAGUCUGACCGAGCAACGCCGCGUGAGUGAAGAAGGGUGUCGGAUCGUAAAGCUCUGUUGUAAGAGAAGAACGGGUGUGAGAGUGGAAAGUUCACACUGUGACGGUAGCUUACCAGAAAGGGACGGCUAACUACGUG
rnacentral:rRNA from 1 species